rnacentral:lncRNA from 1 species
GGGACACGUGGACGAUGUGUGCGUGGGACGUGCGUAAUUAUUGGUGAAAUUACAAGUUUGGGGUUAGGGCGCUUCUAGAUGGUUGUGCAAGGGUGAUCGAUUCACUAAAUUAAAUUUGGAGCACGCUGCCCUGUAUUUAUUUACUGGAUAUUAUUGCUUUGGGGGUAAAUAUGUCAAUUGGUUGCUUGAUAUUUUUUUUUUAGAAACGGGACAUUUUCAGGGCUAGUUUGGUAGGGAAAGGAUCCUCUCGGGACCCAAUCUGACUGGAUC